rnacentral:rRNA from 1 species
AUACGUAGGGAGCAAGCGUUGUCCGGAAUUACUGGGUGUAAAGGGAGCGUAGGCGGGACUGCAAGUCAGAUGUGAAAUACCGGGGCUUAACCCCGGAGCUGCAUUUGAAACUGUGGUUCUUGAGUGAAGUAGAGGCAAGCGGAAUUCCUGGUGUAGCGGUGAAAUGCGUAGAUAUCAGGAGGAACACCGGUGGCGAAGGCGGCUUGUUGGGCUUUUACUGACGCUGAGGCUCGAAAGCGUGGGUAGCAAACAGGAUUAGAUACCCUGGUAGUCCACGCUGUAAACGAUGAUUACUAGGUGUGGGGGGACUGACCCCUUCCGUGCCGCAGUUAACACAAUAAGUAAUCCACCUGGGGAGUACGGCCGCAAGGUUGAAACUCAAAUGAAUUGACGGGG